UACCUGGUUGAUCCUGCCAGUAGUCAUAUGCUUGUCUCAAAGAUUAAGACAUGCAUGUCUAAGUAUGAACUAAUUCAGACUGUGAAACUGCGGAUGGCU
rnacentral:ncRNA from 1 species